rnacentral:lncRNA from 1 species
CGUACCCUAGCCCUCCUCUUCUUUUCACCGCACAUAACCCCCACGCCACCCGAGAAUGCAAGGUUGGGUGAUUGCCGUUGCAGUCAAUCCUCAGCCUCGUUACCGUUGAAGCCUGACGGGCCGAGAAGCUUCACCGUAACACAAGGAGUCUGCUCGUGGCAGCGCCAGAUAGGAUCGACCAUCGGGGCGGCUUCAAAUUACUCGUUGUACUUAACCUUCUGCCAUCGCGCGUGAUCGGAGGUCGUCGCGGUGUAAUCCAUAGUAAAAUUGCUUCUAUCAAGUUUGCAGUAUCCCCAGUCCUGGAUAGCAGUGUUUAGAAUAGAGUUUCGGGGCACCAGGUCAUAGUUGGGGAUCGCGCCGGCGAUGUGCCAUCGUUGGUGCGGGCGACGCCACCGCUUUGGCAUGUCGGAAGGAGGGAGAUGGUUUCUGGCCAUCGGAUCCAAAUCUGUGGCUACGAAUUGAAGAUGCUUACCGGUUCAGUAGUUGGAUCCGGGUCGUAGAUCCUCGAAACGGACGGAUCAGGUUAGAUCUCGGUUCAUAACAUCGUGGUCAUCGAUCCAGUAUUGGACAGUUGUGAUGAGAGGAUGAGUGACCGUUUCGCAGAUGAAAACUGGGUCGUCGAUCAGGAGUCCAGCGGUUAGGGUUUGAUUAUGGCGUGGCAGCCUUUGAGUCGUGGAUCUCUGAUCCAGUGGAUGGGAUUAGGUAUCGGUUCAAUUAUUGUGGGAUCUAAUUCUGACGGUAGGCAUGUGAUCCAACGGUAGUAACUCAAUGAUACCCCUUCAGUUGUGGGAUUUUGCAUAAGGGUCCCUGGUUUUCUUCGAAAUUAACCCGCCAUCCACUACUAGUAUAAACUAUUUACAGUUGGGCCCUUGUUUUUAUAAAACAAACCAUGUGAUCUAUGGUUUUUAUACCCGCGGUCCAAAUAAGAUUGUUGGUUUAAUAAAAUAAAUUAGAAAAUGAAUUUUAAUAUGGAAAUUAAAUCCUAAAACUUAAUAAAUUCAUAACUUCUUUGAUUUAACACCAAAUUGUUCCAUUCCAGUUACAUUGAACUCAUAUUAAUAUUUUUUACCAUUUAGUAACCUUAUUUUAUUAUGUAACAGGUUGUUAAAACCAAGCACUUAAUUUGUUUAGUUUACGUUUAACACAUAAACAUUCAGAAAAUCAUAACUUUAUAACCAUAACUCCGAUUUUAGUGGUUCUCGAGCCUACGAUCUCGUUGCGACGUGUAGAUCAUUAUUAUACAGUGUGUUCUUAUAUUUGGUGUGAUAUUGAUUUCUCCUGUGCAAUGUUUGUUUGUAUUGUUGCGAGUAGAUGAGCAAGUGAUCGAGGAGCCCGGAGCUCAGUAGGUUGAAGAAUAUGAGCAUGAGCUCAUUGAAGGCAAGUUGUGCCCUUGACCACUCUUCUUUACCCAAUAAUGUUCUCUAGAAUCACUGUGGCAUGUUUAGGUUUAAUUUGAUGUGGGACCCAAUAGGUCACCCUAGUUUGGUUUACUUUACACCUUAUCACUAAACUUU